ensembl:snRNA U6 U6 spliceosomal RNA
GUGCUCGCUUUGACAGUACAUGUACCAAAAUUGGAACGAUAUGGAGAUUAGCGAGGCCCCUGAGCAAGGAUGACAUGCAAAUUCAUGAAGCAGUCCACAUUAAA